rnacentral:lncRNA from 1 species
UUUCUCGCGUCUCGCAAUCUAUCCUUUUGUUGUUGGGAUAGUGCAGCCUCGUCCUGCGGCUCCUCGUAGCCGUUCUCCACGAUUUCCCAAACAUCGUGGGCUCCCAAUAGCGCCUUCAUCUUGAUGCUCCAAUUGUCGAAGUUGCUCUUGUUGAGCAUGGGGACUUGAAAGGAUUGUAAAUUCGCCAUACCACAAGUAGAAUCUUGUGGCUCUGAUACCACUUUGUUGGAAAUUUAAGAAAUAUGUAAUGGAGAAUUAAUUUGAUUGGCUAAAGGAAAUUUGGAGAGAUUGGUUGGAUGGAUCACUUUAUAUUAAAGG